AAAAUGGCGUUGAGAGCUUUUCGAUUGUUUUUCAUGCUUUCGUUUGUUGAAGCAUCUAUUACAGCGUGGGCUCUGCUUGUGUCGGCCGACAAAGCUUUCACUGCAACGCAUUCGCAGUGGUGUGCGCUGUUGUUAUGUUUGCGUACCGCCGUUCUUGAAUAGUUGCAGAUGUCCCCCUAUUAUUUUCCACUGCCCACUUGCACACAGAACAGUGUGUCAAAUCAGAUGCAUUGUUGUAUUCCAACCAAGCAAACUGUUCCCGCCAUCUCGGUUGAAAUGUCCGGCCACGUUUACUUUCACCCCGACCUAUGGGCUGGCGGCUUGAAGAUGGUGUCUCAGUCUCACAUAUACCAGUUGUUGGUGGGGAGGUUCCCACUUUAACCCUACCGGCGAGCCGGGAUCAUAGAAACAUUAAAUAUUCAAAUCUGCAAGUCAUCAUUAAUUCUGACAAAAUUCUCAACUCGAAAUUCUUAGCGGUCUGCGACAAGGUGUGGUAAGAUUUCUGGUUAAGAAUUUUCUCGUGUAACAGGGUGUGUCGUGCUAAAUGUUAAUGUAUUGUUAUUGGGAAAAGUUAAGAAUUUUCUCGUGUGGCAGGGUGUGUCGUGCUAAACGUUAAGAUUUUGUUAUUAGGAAAAGUUAACAGUUUUCACGUGUGACAUGGUGUGUCAUUCUAAAUGUUGAGAAUUUUCUCGUGUGGCAGGGUGUGUCGUGCUAAAUGUUAAG